rnacentral:tRNA from 4 species
GGGCGAUUAGCUCAGCUGGUUAGAGCGCGACACUGAUAAUGUCGAGGUCAGUGGUUCAAGUCCACUAUCGCCCACCA